rnacentral:tRNA from 1 species
GCCGAGGUGGUGAAAUUGGUAGACACGCACGCUUGAGGGGCGUGUGGAGCGAUCCGUGCGAGUUCGAGUCUCGCCCUCGGCACCA